UACGUAGGGUGCAGGCGUUAAUCGGAAUUACUGGGCGUAAAGCGUGCGCAGGCGGUGAUGUAAGACAGAUGUGAAAUCCCAGGGCUCAAUCUUGGAACUGCAUUUGUGACUGCAUCGCUGGAGUGCGGCAGAGGGGGAUGGAAUUCCGCGUGUAGCAGUGAAAUGCGUAGAUAUGCGGAGGAACACCGAUGGCGAAGGCAAUCCCCUGGGCCUGCACUGACGCUCAUGCACGAAAGCGUGGGGAGCAAACAGG
rnacentral:rRNA from 1 species